CAGUCGCCGCGGGAAAACGGAGGGGGCUAGCGUUGUUCGGAAUUACUGGGCGUAAAGCGCACGUAGGCUGCUUUGUAAGUCAGAGGUGAAAGCCCGGGGCUCAACCCCGGAUGUGCCUUUGAGACUGCAGGGCUAGAACGUCGGAGAGGUGAGUGGAAUUCCGAGUGUAGAGGUGAAAUUCGUAGAUAUUCGGAAGAACACCAGUGGCGAAGGCGGCUCACUGGACGACUGUUGACGCUGAGGUGCGAAAGCGUGGGGAGCAAACAGGAUUAGAAUACCCCGGUAGUCCCUGUCUCUUAUU
rnacentral:rRNA from 1 species